AUGCUACCACUACCCGUCCACCUGCCCUUCAUGCGCGGCCACUACUGGGCGGGCAUGAAGGCCAACUGGAUCGUCCUCAUCCACAAAUCCGGUAGUCCGUGGCAUCUCGUGGAUAUCUACACCCAGCAAGAGAUCACCCUUCCAUCUUUGGAUACCGCCGCCAUCGAGCCUCGCGGCCCGCCGGACACUCCUGCCUACUACGCACGAGACGCCAGACGCAAAUGCGCUGGCCUUCAUGAUUCCAGGACCUGGAAUCAUACCAGCCGAUGGUACCAUAUAACUGGAAUUAACCCAUGCAAGUCGAAGAAGGAUUGGCCGGUGCUGCCGGCUGGUGUCAAGUUUGAUCCCAUGGAUCAGGAGCUGAUCGAGCACCUUGAGGCCAAGGUGAGUGCUGACAGCGUGAGAUCUCACCCUCUCAUCGAUUUGUUCAUACCAACCAUCGACAGUGAGCACGGCAUAUGCUACACCCAUCCUGAGAAAUUUCCAGGUAUCACACUAAGUGGCCUAAGCAAGCAUUUCUUCCAGCGCAAUUCCAGGGCAUUCAAAAGGGGCACGUGGACGCGUCGCAAGAUACAGUCUGAGUGUGGCAUGCACGCGAUGUGGCACAACACCGGCAAUACCUUGCCGGUGAUGGUCAACGGCCGGCAGACGGGCAGCAAAAAGGUUCUGGUGCUGCACACCAACAAGAACUUCGACCAGCAGAGGACCAACUGGGUGAUGCACCAGUACCACCUCGGGGACCUGGAGCAAGAGAAGGAGCGGGAGCUAGUCCUCUGCAAGAUUUUCUACCAGACGAACACUAGGGCCAGGAGUAAAAAGAUUAUAAGUUAG
rnacentral:rRNA from 1 species